CACUCCUACGGGAGGCAGCAGUGAGGAAUAUUGGACAAUGGGUGGAAGCCUGAUCCAGCCAUCCCGCGUGCAGGAAGACGGCCCUAUGGGUUGUAAACUGCUUUUAUCUGGGGAUAAACCUACUUACGUGUAAGUAGCUGAAGGUACCAGAAGAAUAAGCACCGGCUAACUCCGUGCCAGCAGCCGCGGUAAUACGGAGGGUGCAAGCGUUAUCCGGAUUUAUUGGGUUUAAAGGGUCCGUAGGCGGACUGAUAAGUCAGUGGUGAAAUCCGACAGCUUAACUGUCGAACUGCCAUUGAUACUGUUAGUCUUGAGUAAGGUUGAAGUGGCUGGAAUAAGUAGUGUAGCGGUGAAAUGCAUAGAUAUUACUUAGAACACCAAUUGCGAAGGCAGGUCACUAAGUCUUAACUGACGCUGAUGGACGAAAGCGUGGGGAGCGAACAGGAUUAGAAACCCGGGUAGUCCCAU
rnacentral:rRNA from 1 species